CAAUAGCGUAUAUUAAAGUUGUUGCAGUUAAAAAGCUCGUAGUUGGAUUUGUGGCGUACGGUGUGUUCCGGGCACUUGUUGUCUGAGUAACCUGCUGUUGCCAUCCUUGGGUGGAACCUGUGUGGCAUUAGGUUGUCGUGCAGGGGAUGCCCAUCAUUUACUGUGAAAAAAUUAGAGUGUUCAAAGCAGGCUUAUGCCGUUGAAUAUAUUAGCAUGGAAUAAUGAGAUAGGACUUUUUUGCUAUUUUGUUGGUUUGCGCAAGAAGGUAAUGAUUAAUAGGGACAGUUGGGGAUAUUCGUAUUCCAUUGUCAGAGGUGAAAUUCUUGGAUUUUUGGAAGACGAACUACUGCGAAAGCAUUUACCAAGGAUGUUUUCAUUAA
rnacentral:rRNA from 1 species